rnacentral:lncRNA from 1 species
GAGGGGUCACGUGGGGCGCGCGGGGGACGGACCGGGGCGCGCGCGGUCCGGGGGGACGCUGGAGGGAGGGCGCGGGAUGGAGGGAUCGCGGGGGUCCCAGGACGGAGAGGUCGCGCCGGGCGCGCUCGGAACACGCAGGAAAUUCUCCCCGAGGCGUGGGCUCCGCGGGGCUUCCCCGCCGGUUCGCUGAGUCCCAGCUCCGCUCGGCCGGGACCUCCGUGGCAGGCUCGGGGAGCCCGCGGGGGGCAGAGGCGCCGACCUCCGCCUGGGACCGAGAGGAACCCGCGCCCUGCCCUGCCCCGCCCGGCGCGCGUGGGCCUGAGUCAGGCGCCUCAGCACGGGGACCCCCGGGCCGGCCUUCACGCCGCAGAGCCGCUGCAGGUGAGACUGUGGCCCACAGACACUGCUUGCAGCAGGCAGAGGAUGUGGGAGCCUCGUGGGAACCCCCCCGACUUGUCCACUGAAGUAACAGCAGCAAUGACCUUCCCUCGGGAAUUCCACCUCUGCGUUUUUCCCUCCAGGUACGUUCACGGAAGUGGCACACUGCAUGCGUCCAGUGAGUCAAUGUGGCACCGCCUACAUGCGUGUCACUGGCCGGUGGGACAUUCAAAUCAUUCAUACGGGGUCUAAACGAGACAGAGCGUGGCCGAGACAGGAAAGACAGGAAGCGCUGUGCUGCUUGGAAAUGGUCCACCAGGUGCAGCAGUAGCUGCAAGAAAGGAACAGGAAGAACGGUGUGUUCAAAGCUCUACCAUUUGUGUAGAAAAGGGAGAAAAACACGUUUCCUUUGUGUGUGUCAAAGGCAUCGAAUGUCUGGAAUGAUCCAGCACCGGCUACACUGGUUGACCUUGGAGGAGGAGAGGCGG